rnacentral:rRNA from 1 species
CCUACGGGAGGCAGCAGUGAGGAAUAUUGGUCAAUGGACGAGAGUCUGAACCAGCCAAGUAGCGUGAAGGAUGACUGCCCUAUGGGUUGUAAACUUCUUUUAUAUGGGAAUAAAAUGUUCCACGUGUGGGAUUUUGUAUGUACCAUAUGAAUAAGGAUCGGCUAACUCCGUGCCAGCAGCCGCGGUAAUACGGAGGAUCCGAGCGUUAUCCGGUUUUAUUGGGUUUAAAGGGAGCGUAGGUGGAUUGUUAAGGCAGUUGUGAAAGUUUGCGGCUCAACCGUAAAAUUGCAGUUGAAACUGGCAGUCUUGAGUACAGGAGAGGUGGGCGGAAUGCGUGGUGUAGCGGUGAAAUGCUUAGAUAUCACGAAGAACUCCGAUUGCGAAGGCAGUUCACUGGACUGCAACUGACACUGAGGCUCGAAAGUGUGGGUAUCAAACAGGAUUAGAUACCCCGGUAGUC